rnacentral:lncRNA from 1 species
AACUUUCCAGAAAGCGAUUUAAAGCUUGAAAUCGAGCUAGAGUCAAAUCGUAAAAUCGUCAAACAAAAAUACACAAAUAUUAACACCAAAACACAUUGUUUUAUUGAUAAAUGAUACUAUUUUACAUUGUACAUUGUUUACAAAGCACAGUUGUCAGAGGGUGAGAGCCCCAUCAUGCCCGGAUCCUGUCGCACCAUGAGGCGUUGUCUGCGAGUCGGGUUGUUUGGGAAUGCGAGUCCCAAUAGGGCAGUAAAUUCCGUCCAAGGCUAACUACUGGCGUGAGACCGAUAGCAAACAAGUACGGCGAGCGAAAGACGAAAAGGACUUUAAAAAGAGAGUCAAAGAGUGCUUGAAAUUAUCGGGAGGGAAGCGAACAGGGGCCGGCGAUGCGUCCCGGUCAGUUGUGGAACGGUGUAAGUCGGUCCGCCGAUUGGCUCAGGGUGUGAACCGGUGCGGAUUGGUAUGGCGGCCAAAGCCCAGGCUGUUGAUAUGCCUGUCGAGAUGCCGGGUGUGCCGAUCGUGGUUGGCAACGCGCGCCGUCACGGCGUGCUUUGGCACCUGCGUGCUCCUAGCACCUGCCUGCGGGCACCCCAUUCGGCCCGUCUUGAAACACGGACCAAGGAGUCUGACAUGUGUGCGAGUCAACGGGUGAGUAAACACGCAAGGCGCAAGGAAGCUGAUUAGCGGGAUCCCCCUCGUGGGUUGCACCGCCGACCGACCUUGAUCUUCUGAGAAGGGUUCGAGUGUGAGCAUGCCUGUUG